UACGUAGGGUGCAAGCGUUAAUCGGAAUCACUGGGCGUAAAGCGCGUGUAGGUGGAAGAGGAAGUCUGCUGUGAAAGCGCCUGGCUUAACCGGGCGAGGUCGGUGGAAACUCCUCAUCUAGAGGUCGGUAGAGGGGGGUGGAAUUCCGGGUGUAGUGGUGAAUGCGUAGAGAUCCGGAGGAACACCUGUGGCGAAGGCGGCCCCCUGGGCCGCACCUGACGCUGAGACGCGAAAGCGC
rnacentral:rRNA from 1 species